UUAGUUGGUGGAGUGAUUUGUCUGGUUAAUUCCGUUAACGAACGAGACCUUAACCGGCUAAAUAGUCACACGAUUCCAGAAUCGUGACUGACUUCUUAGAGGGACUGUUGGUGUUUAACCAAAGUCAGGAAGGCAAUAACAGG
rnacentral:rRNA from 1 species